GAUGAACGCUGGCGGCGUGCCUAAUACAUGCAAGUCGAGCGAACGGACGAGAAGCUUGCUUUUCUGAUGUUAGCGGCGGACGGGUGAGUAACACGUGGAUAACCUACCUAUCAGACUGGGAUAACUUCGGGAAACCGGAGCUAAUACCGGAUAAUAUUUUGAACCGCAUGGUUCAAAAGUGAAAGACGGUCUUGCUGUCACUUAUAGAUGGAUCCGCGCUGCAUUAGCUAGUUGGUAAGGUAACGGCUUACCAAGGCAACGAUGCAUAGCCGACCUGAGAGGGUGGUCGGCCACACUGGAACUGAGACACGGUCCAGACUCCUACGGGAGGCAGCAGUAGGGAAUCUUCCGCAAAGGGCGAAAGCCUGACGGAGCAACGCCGCGUGAGUGAUGAAGGUCUUCGGAUCGUAAAACUCUGUUAUUAGGGAAGAACAUAUGUGUAAGUAACUGUGCACAUCUUGACGGUACCUAAUCAGAAAGCCACGGCUAACUACGUG
rnacentral:rRNA from 1 species